UGCAGAGCGCUUUAUGAUGAAACUGAGUUGCAGAGAGGAUAGGUUACGUGUUCAAUGUCACACGACUGUAAAUGGCGGCUCUGAAACUCAAACCCAACAAGAUGGCUGAAGCUUUCACAGUCACCUUAGACCAUGAGGACAAGGAUAUACUCAAAGAGCUGAUAGAAGAAAAAGCUGGAAGAAGCCUGGAUUCCUGAUUUCAGAGACCUGCCCUCACAAGCACUGGACUACCUACCUCCAGAUAGGUGAGAAAAUAAGACCUGUGUGUUCAGU
rnacentral:lncRNA from 1 species